CAGCCGUCACACCUCAGUGAAAGGAGUUGCUGAUGAGGAGUGUGGUAACAUUCUUGUUUCUGGGCAUGCAAGCGGCGUGAUUCCAAGUCUAGAGGCGGACUUCUCCCAGCGUUGGCAGUGUUCAGCUCUACUGGGCAGCGGCAAGUACUUUCUAAAGUCGGUGUAUUAAGGCCCUGAUUUUCCACCACGCAUCAGCAAUGCACACCACCUGGAUUUUCAUCUUUUGCCAACUGUGAAUAUGAAGACACUGAAACAAUCCCGCCACUGAGGGAGUGUGAAAUACACGGCCCCCUUCCCUCUACUGGCUGUCACGUGGGUUAACAUUCAGGGGACGGUUUACAGUUACGUACUGCAUGGCACGUCAGGCAGUAAUAAAUCGUACAUUCAACAGUGGGAGGGGCCAGGAAUAUAGCUCAGUGGCACACGCACCUGCCUUGCAAGUGCAAGGUCCUGAGUUCGAUUUCCAGUACCAAAAAAAACCCAAAAAGCAAAAAACAGUGGGAUGUGGAGGUGGAAAUACCACGGUAACGUUUUUACUGUGGCUUUUCUAGUUACCACCACACUGCAGGCGCAGCGGUCCUGUGCUGUGCCUGCUUGCAGUUUAGGAGCAACAGGCCCUAUCCUCGAAGUUGUGCAAACACAGGCAAGAGCCCGAGGACUACUUUCCGAGCACGCCCCUACACACAGGCAGGCGUGCAUGUGUGCAGUUUUGCUGCUUUCGGAGUUGCCCUCCGUGCUGCACUGACCUGCUCUGAGCAACAGAUGAGCGCCUAUUUCUGCAGCCCCGAGCUGUCCUCAUGCCUUUUGACUUUUGUCAGUGUGUGCAAGUGAUCUCAGUGGAUUGGAUUUCAAUUCACUGAAUUAUCUUCAAGAGCUAAAUCCGGUCUUCCGUGAACUACUUAUAUUCUUUGCCUAUUUUUAAAUUGGUUUUUCUUAUGGAAACAGACCGUUUUCUCUGAAGGGAGCUAAGUUCCUCCACAUUUUUAAAAGCUUUGUCACAGAAUUUUAAUGAAAAAAAUCAACUUUUCUCUUUCUAGACAUUUAGGGUUUGUCUCAGAACUGCUUAGAUUUUUUUUUUUUUAAAAUUUUGGUUUUUUUGGUACCAGGAAUCGAACUUAGGACCUUGCGCUUGCCUGGCAGGAGCUUAUGCCACUGAGCUAUAUCCCUGGCCCUAGAAGAUUGUUUUUGAAGAUUAGAUCUGAAAAACAAUUUUCAAUGCAGAAAUUUCAUGGCAUGUAGAAUCCUGGCACACAACAUGAGCUAUAAAUUCAUACUUCUUUGCAAGUAUUUGGUUUUCCCACUAAUUGUCAAAUAACCAUUUUUCAAUGAUUUAAUGUAUUACAUGAGUUUCAUGUGUAUGUAGGUGUUUCCAGACAAGACGCCAGCCUGGGCAACACGGCAAGACCACUGUCUAGCAUGCUAGAGGCCCUGAAUUUAAUCUCCAGUACCACAAAACACAACCCCUUUUUCUGGCUUCAUGAAUUCUAAAAUAUAACUACAAAAAUAUCUAGGUACAAAAGCAUGCUGCUUCAUCUUUUUGAGCUGGUGUUUAGAAUACUCUGAACCGGUUAUCAUUCCACGCAACUUGGUCCUGUGACAGAAGCCCAAGGUCUCUCUUAGAGGACACGGACAGUCUCACUCCUCUAUAGCUACUCGAAACUGCCCCAAACCACCACUUUUGUUCAAUGCAGUCACAUUUGUUAAAGGCAUGACGUCACCCAUAAUGUAACACAACGUUGGUUCUCGGACUUCAAUGUUGAAAUGUUUCAGGUGUUACUUUUCAGCUUCACGGUUUGAAAUGCACUGUGGCUAACUUAAGUUUUUGCUCAAACGAUACCCUCAGGUUCUCCCCAUCUUCCUUCAGUCCAUAAGAAACUGCAAGCUGCUCCAUCACCUCCAGCCACACCGUGCUUCUUCUAGUGAGCACGCGCCACCACGUAACACACCAUAAAGCAUGGCAACACUGAGUAUAAUUUCUAAGAGUGAAGACUUAGGAACAAAUUCUAAAUAUUCUGCAACAGUUGUGCAAGUUGUUCACAGACUAUUAUGUAGUUAUAAUGUCAAUGUGUGUCAACUAAAACUUUGGAUACAACAACCAGGAAUGUUGGUGCCUAUCUGUAAUCCCAGUACUAAGGAGGCCGAGGCAGGAGGAUUGCCAGAAGUUUGGGGGUAGCCUGACCUACACAGUUCCAAGCCAGCUUGAACAACAUAGCAAGACUCUAUCUCAAAAACAAACAGCAAACAAAAGGGCACACCAUGACUGUACAUUCAUAUGCACAGAAAUUAUCACUGGGUAGUUGUUAAAAUUCACCUAAAAUUGUUCACUUGUUAUUCUUAGAAGUAUUUAAUGCAGUUCUUGAAAAAUCAAUAUAAAAAAUAAACUUUUGAAUUGGGAGAAAGUUGUCAUAUUCCUAGAAAUGAAUUGCUUUAAUAACUAGGAGAAAGCCUAGGAUUCUUAGAGCAAUUCUGUGUUAUUCUCAAUGAAUCAGAAAUCACGUUAAUUUUCCAAAUUGUAACCGCAAACAGUUGAAAUGAAUACUGGAUGUUUUAGGAGGUUCUUAAAUUUUCACACCAAAUUAACAUGACACUGGACGUUAAGGAAAUGGCAAUCACAGCACCACUAUUUCCACAUUCUACCACACAGGACAGAGGAAACCCAAAGCCAGAGCUGCACAAUUCCAACCGCCACUCUCCCCAGCCACUCCUGAACAACUCCAGGAUGUGUACACCGUGGAGUCCAGAUUGUGAAAUGACAAGAUACAAAUGCCUGUCAACUAAAAGACGGGUGAGCUAUCUUUAUCACUAACGUAGUCACCUGAACUGAGAAAAAUCAAUUACAUAAAGUGGAUAGGACUUCAGUUUCACUAAAGUGUCAAAGAUUUACAAAAAAGGUCCUUACCUUCAGGCAUAAUUUCUUUAAGAACUCUGAACUAAUGGUUAGGCUGAUUUUAAUGAACUUCUUCCAUCAUUUAAAUUCUAAAUUUCGGAAUCUCAGAUUUUAAAAUACCCAUAUUCUAAUUUGUUUUCCUGUCAACACCAACUGUGGUAUUUCAAAUCUGCCUUCUCCUAAAAUGUUCUAAAUCUCAAAAUACUUGACAGUUGUGUACACACAUUCCCUGGGAUGUAUUAAUACAUUUGAAUUAGUGACAUGCAGCAACUAUAUUACACUAAAAUUGUAAGCCUUAACUUCUUGAAAGAUGAACAAAAAUCCAUAAAAGGACACACACGCAUACACACUCAUGCAUGCAAUCUACCCUUACGUUUUAGUCACAGCUUCAGCUUUAAUUCCCUUUUUGUACAGUAGCAUCUUGUCUACCCUUGAACAGCUGAACCCAGAAACUUACCAAUAAUAGGAGUAAGUUAAAAUGUAGGGAAUACGGGGUUUCAAUGCACUACAUCAAUAAGAAAACACUGAACUUAAAAAAAAAUACUAGACAGUACAGUGCAAUAAACUAAGAAAAAUACCAAUACAUCUUUAACAAGUAAAUAUACAAUGGAGUUGGGGACCCACAAGACCUAUUAUUAAUGGACCCAAAAGGAGUGUGGUGGAGAAGGUGAACUCAUUUCCUUUUAUUAAAAAUCAGAGUGCAACAGCAAUAGUUAAACAACUUUAUUAACAUAGUCAAGCAGUGAUUAACAUUCACAUCUAUGUCACAUCAUACAAAUGUAAAUACAAAAAUUACUACAGUACAAUAUAUAUUCUCUGCAUGAUCCAAAAUAUUUGGUGGCCCCAAAAAACUCUUUUAAAAUUCAGCAGCUUAUCAAAAAUUAAAACCGUAUUCUAUUUAAAAUGAAGAUCUGUUAGCACAGAGUUAGACUUCAAGAAGUAUCAAUUUAGUACAGUUUGAGAAAUUGCAGGAGGAUGUUUGAAGGACGCGUUCUAACAUAGUGUGGCAGGUACAGGAAACAUCAGAUUUAAAGCUUUUAAGCAGAACUCAUACAACCUAAGUUGUCAGCAGAAAGAUCCAGUUAUUUAUAACUAAAGCUAACGCUACUAAAUUAUUGCACCCAAUGUUAACAUGAAUAGUAAGUGUAAAACUGCUUUAUAAUAUGAAGUCAUUUACCACAUGAAAUCUCUUCUCACAAGAUGAUAAUCUAUUGAGUAGUUAAUUAUACAGUAUUGUCUAAUUAUUAUCUCCAUAAAAAUCCACCAAGCUCAAUUUGGUAGUAUACCCUUGUACACCCACAAAGGAAAACAACGAAGCAUGAGGAAAAGCACAGCAGAGCCCUCGAUGAGGCCGACAUCAGGAGGGGACCAACACUGCCUUAUAGGCUAACCGUGUUAAUAGCAGGCUUUGAGAAAGAUGAUCCGACCUGUGGAAUAGCCAAUUCUGUACGUUAAGCCACAAUAUUAAGGGAUCCUAUGGUAAAUAAAAACUGUUAUAAAAGGAAAACUACUGGCAUUUCUAUUGAGUGAUAUACUGCUUGGCAAAUAGAUUUGGCUUGGUUUUAAAGUAUACAAGUGAAAAAAAAAAA